rnacentral:rRNA from 1 species
AACGAACGCUGGCGGCGCGUUUUAAGCAUGCAAGUCGAAGGAUGCGAUUUUAGCAAUAGAGUCGUAGACUGGCGAACGGGCGAGUAACACGUGAAAAUCUAUCUUAAGAUGGGGGAUAGUCGGUAGAAAUACCGGGUAAUACCGCAUGUGCCGAGAGGUGAAAGCUCCAAUUGGAGCGUCUUUAGAUGAGUUUGCGUUCCAUUAGCUAGUUGGUGGGGUAAUGGCCUACCAAGGCGACGAUGGAUAGCCGGCCUGAGAGGGUGUACGGCCACAUUGGGACUGAGACACGGCCCAGACUCCUACGGGAGGCAGCAGCUAAGAAUAUUCCGCAAUGGGAGCAAUCCUGACGGAGCGACGCCGCGUGUAUGAUGAAGGCAGAAAUGUUGUAAAGUACUUUUGCGCGGGAAGAAUAAUGAUAGGAGUGGAAAGUCUAUCAGAUGACGGUACCGCGCGAAUAAGCCACGGCUAACUACGUG